GCCAAUGUAACAUUUUCAGGUCAAUUUCUGGUCAGAACUCCAAAAAGAAUCUAGCUAGAAUGAAUUUAGGUGAUAUCAAAUUGAAAUUUGAUGAUUUUUAUAAUAUAAACUGAAAUUAAAAGAACAACGCUGAAAUAAUCCUAUUAGUCGAGUUGAGAGAUGGCAAGUGAAAUUAAUCUAUGCAGCUGCUUUUCCAGCAUUUUGAAAAUGAAUUGGCAGAAUUUGACAAAAAGUGAAAUUUCUUAAAAUGAUUGUGAUAUUCUGCUAGGCAUGAAAAUAAAUCAGGCUACAGCUAAAGAUGAGACAUGUAAGAAAAAGAAAAUGUCAUCAAUAAAAGUAAAAAAUGACACCUGAAAGCGAUAUCUAAUACUGAAAUUUUAUUUCAUAAAUUGGCAUGUAAGUCCAACUGUUGCAAAUUGCAAUACAAACUAUAUAUAUUACUGAUUGAUUCCUAAAUGUAGAAGAAAUCUAUGGUGGUAAGGGCAUGCAAUUAGUUACCUGAACUAAGAACAAGACCAACCAUCUGUGUAUCACAUGAACUCCUACGCUAACUCAUAUAACACCCAUAUUUGAUUCAGAUAUGCUUCUACAUGAAUGACCACCUCUGAAGAAAACAACAUACUAUACUACACCUGCACAUUGAUCAAUCAUUCUAUGUGCAUCACCCCACCCAAAAAAAGCUUGCUGUAACCUUAUCAGCAGUCUAAGAUGAACUGACCAUUGUGCUUACCUUCUCCAAGAGCACUUUCAUUUCGCAUUCUAACUUGGAUUUCAGAUCUCGGGAUAUUUUUCCCUCUGAUGUCUCCAGCAAUGAUGUUAUCAUCUCAAGCUUCUGCUUUAUAAAGUUCAAUUGUGAUACAUCAUUGCCAGAAGAUUGCAACACGGAUGGCAUGUCCACUGUCGUUGUUCCCUCCUUGGCCAGGGAAGAAGGCUUUGAACUUGAUAACUCUUUGAGUUGCCGGGUCUUGGUUUCAGCAGACAGAUAAUGAAGCCGGAAAGUCACACUGGCUGAUCCAAAAGGACUGGAAAGUUGAGAAUAAUUAAAUGCUUCUUCUGCAUCAGGACUUUUUAAGAAGACUAUCCUUGCACAGUAAUUAGUGUAGAACAUCUCAGUUUCAUCUUUGUUCAAAGCCCCGAAUUUUCCAUAUAUUUUAAGGAGAUCGUUCUUUGAAGGCAAAGAAGAUCCUGGACCAAAUGUCACAAAAAGGGCAGCGCCUGUAGCUUGGCCUUCAGAUUCCUUAUCCUUUGCCUUCAUUUCUUGUGCACUGACAGCUUGUUUUCCUUUAGGUUCAUCCAAUUUUGCUUCUUCACUCUUUUUGGUGUUUGUCCUCUGGGAUUUACGUUCAGAUGAACUGUGGUCAGACUGAUUUUGCUCCUUUACCAGUGGCACAGUAUCAGAUUUUUGGGACUUCCUCUUUUUUCCUGGAUGAUGUUCAAUGUACAUAUCAUUAUCAGACCCAUUGCAAUGGAUUGAACUUCUGAAUGCAGAAAAAAAUUUCCCAACCGUAUCAAGUGAGUUGGUGUCCUUCAGAUGCUGUGGACUGAGAGCCGCAAACCGUAUUUUGGAUAGAACUUCACUAGCAGGUACCUUAACUAUCAUCAGAUCAAUGUUGUUCUGUUCUUGUCUUGGUGUUUGAGGACCUGAAUUGUUAGAUGCCUCAAGCCCUGAUCCGAAUUCUUUAGAGGGUUUCUUCUGAAAUAUUUCACCACUGAACUUCAAAAUAGGAGGAGACACAAUAUGGUGGCCAGCAGCUUUAGUCACUUGUUCCCCUAAUCGAGCCUCACUGGAAACUUUGGGGGACUCUUCCACUGUUUCUUUCUUCUUUUGUGCUUUAUCAAGAUUUGUGUACGGAGGGGACAGAUACUUGCUCCUUUUCCUUUCCCUAGAAAAAGAACCCUUCUUAAUUUGUUCUUUAGCCUUACCAUUGUCAUCUGGACCACCAUCCAGCUUCUUUUCUGCAGACACAGUGUUCUCCCUUGUUUCUUCAUUUCUGCCCCCACCAUCAUCAUCUUCAAUAUUGGAACUUCCCUUCUUCUUCCUUCCUCUUGACAAAGGGCUCUUCAUACUUGCUUUCUUCACCCCACUACCAUCAGAUUCAAGACUGCCGACUUUGUUAUUUGCUGCUACAGGAGGUUCAAAAAACACAUCAAUGCUGCUACUACUACUAACAUCAGCUUCACCACUGCCUUUCCUCUUCUUUCCUCUAGAUGAAGGUUUGCCCAAGUUUGAUCUUUCUUUAGCCACAUCUUCCAUCUCAUUUUUUCUCUUAACACCAUCGUCAUCACUUACUUUCCUCUUCUUCCCUCCAGAUGAAGAUGUAGGUUUGUCCAAUCUUACUCCUUUAUUCACAUCCAUUACCUCCUUUUUACCCUCAGUAUUCAUGUCUUCUCCCAUGAACUUCCUCUUCGUUCUCUUGGCUGAAGAUGAAGCUUUGCUCGACUUUGAUCCCCCUCCUGCCAAAAUAUCAUCCUUAUUCUCAGCCUCAGCAUCAGCCUGCCCUUCCAGAAUUUCAGCAAGGCUUUUCUGCUUCCUUCUCUGAUAGUGUCCAUCCUCCGAAACCCCUUGGCACGUGUGCAAUGUACUUUGAGUGGUUUGGCCAUGAUUGAGGUGUCUUGGCGUGGAAAGCCAAUCUUCAACUGGACCCUGAAUUCUCCCUUCCACUCCACUAUUGUAUUUACUUGAGUCAACCAUCAAAUUUCUGGUGUCAUCAUCAAGGCCUGGAAUUGGCUUUGGUUCAUGAUAAGAAGGCAACUUGUAGCCUCCUUUUGCACGAUAAAAAGCUGAUAACCAGCUCUUUAAUACUGAGAACUCUAGCAUGUUAGUAACGGUAGCAACCUGUGCGGUACCCUUUAAUGCAGCAAGAAAUUCUGCUGGUUCAAAUAAAGCAGUUGAAAACUUAUCAAUUCCACCUUCAGGCACUAGAAGUCCUUCCUUAAUUCCAGCAUUCACAGCUAAUGUUCUACCAGAUCCAAUCAAAUUCUCUUUUGGCACACAUGAGCAAGUCAUCUUCAAGUCCACAAGUCUACCAACCUCAUCCAUGGCCUUCUCUACUGCAUUGAAAAAGUUUUUUGAGCCACUCUGCUUUGACAUCUCCAAAAAAUUAUCACCUAAAGGCUUCAACUGAGAUGUAUUGCACCAAGCAAAUGUCCCAUCUCCAAAGUAAGCCACAAGAAUCUUAUCCCGUGGUUUAACUUUUUUGGCAUAAUCAGAUGCAUCCAAUGGAUCAUAAAUCCGUCCUGGCCACCAAGGAUGACUCUUAAUCUUGCCCCAAACAAAAUCACCAACACUAAAUUCAUGUCCAUCUUCCAUAUUCUCUUCCCCUUCCCAAUCCUUGCUAUCACUCAAUUCUCUAUUCUUCCCAUCUUGGUACCUUUCAUUUGCAUCCAAAGAUUGCCCUCGCACAAUCCUGCCAAAUUUCCUGUUUGCUUUAAUGCCACUUGGAUGAACAUCUCCACAGAUAUCUGCAACAAGAGAAAUGCCGUCAACACUUUCAAAACCCCUUUUCCCAGUCUUAUCAAUAACAUCUAAAACAGAGCCUAGCCCCCGUAAACUUUUACUUUCAUGCAUUUUUAACAAAGAAGACGCUCCAUUUAUCUCAGAAUCCUCAAGGCCCCCUUUAUUAUCACCCAAAUCAACAGUAUCUCGGCCCCCGAACUCCCUUCCAACUGAAACUUCAGUUCCAACCAGUCCACCAUCAAAAUUACUACUGCCCAUACCUUCCUUUCCAUUUAUAGAAACCCUAGUCCCAUUUUCUCUAGUACUUUUAGCUGGAGAAGUUUUGGAGGCAUCUUUAGAGAGUUUCGUACUAGGGUCUCGUUUCUUAGAUGAUCCUUGAGAAAGAGAGGGACUUUCAGAUAGAGCUCUUGAUGGGGUUUCAAUUGUUUUCAUUUUCCUUAAAAGAAGAAGAGCUUCACCAAGAAGAGUAGGGUUUUGCAGCUCUUAGAAACUAUAUUAUUUUCUUGUCAGAUUCUUAGCAGAGAAAAAAUAGCGAGGGAUCGAAU
rnacentral:misc_RNA from 1 species